AGAGUUUGAUCAUGGCUCAGAUUGAACGCUGGCGGCAGGCCUAACACAUGCAAGUCGAACGGUAGCACAGAGGAGCUUGCUCCUUGGGUGACGAGUGGCGGACGGGUGAGUAAUGUCUGGGAAACUGCCCGAUGGAGGGGGAUAACUACUGGAAACGGUAGCUAAUACCGCAUAACGUCGCAAGACCAAAGAGGGGGACCUUCGGGCCUCUUGCCAUCGGAUGUGCCCAGAUGGGAUUAGCUUGUUGGUGAGGUAAUGGCUCACCAAGGCGACGAUCCCUAGCUGGUCUGAGAGGAUGACCAGCCACACUGGAACUGAGACACGGUCCAGACUCCUACGGGAGGCAGCAGUGGGGAAUAUUGCACAAUGGGCGCAAGCCUGAUGCAGCCAUGCCGCGUGUAUGAAGAAGGCCUUCGGGUUGUAAAGUACUUUCAGCGGGGAGGAAGGGAGUAAAGUUAAUACCUUUGCUCAUUGACGUUACCCGCAGAAGAAGCACCGGCUAACUCCGUGCCAGCAGCCGCGGUAAUACGGAGGGUGCAAGCGUUAAUCGGAAUUACUGGGCGUAAAGCGCACGCAGGCGGUUUGUUAAGUCAGAUGUGAAAUCCCCGGGCUCAACCUGGGAACUGCAUCUGAUACUGGCAAGCUUGAGUCUCGUAGAGGGGGGUAGAAUUCCAGGUGUAGCGGUGAAAUGCGUAGAGAUCUGGAGGAAUACCGGUGGCGAAGGCGGCCCCCUGGACGAAGACUGACGCUCAGGUGCGAAAGCGUGGGGAGCAAACAGGAUUAGAUACCCUGGUAGUCCACGCCGUAAACGAUGUCGACUUGGAGGUUGUGCCCUUGAGGCGUGGCUUCCGGAGCUAACGCGUUAAGUCGACCGCCUGGGGAGUACGGCCGCAAGGUUAAAACUCAAAUGAAUUGACGGGGGCCCGCACAAGCGGUGGAGCAUGUGGUUUAAUUCGAUGCAACGCGAAGAACCUUACCUGGUCUUGACAUCCACGGAAGUUUUCAGAGAUGAGAAUGUGCCUUCGGGAACCGUGAGACAGGUGCUGCAUGGCUGUCGUCAGCUCGUGUUGUGAAAUGUUGGGUUAAGUCCCGCAACGAGCGCAACCCUUAUCCUUUGUUGCCAGCGGUCCGGCCGGGAACUCAAAGGAGACUGCCAGUGAUAAACUGGAGGAAGGUGGGGAUGACGUCAAGUCAUCAUGGCCCUUACGACCAGGGCUACACACGUGCUACAAUGGCAUAUACAAAGAGAAGCGACCUCGCGAGAGCAAGCGGACCUCAUAAAGUAUGUCGUAGUCCGGAUUGGAGUCUGCAACUCGACUCCAUGAAGUCGGAAUCGCUAGUAAUCGUGGAUCAGAAUGCCACGGUGAAUACGUUCCCGGGCCUUGUACACACCGCCCGUCACACCAUGGGAGUGGGUUGCAAAAGAAGUAGGUAGCUUAACCUUCGGGAGGGCGCUUACCACUUUGUGAUUCAUGACUGGGGUGAAGUCGUAACAAGGUAACCGUAGGGGAACCUGCGGUUG
rnacentral:rRNA from 1 species